rnacentral:rRNA from 1 species
UACGUAGGUGGCAAGCGUUGUCCGGAUUUACUGGGCGUAAAGAGCGCGCAGGCGGUCGUUUAAGUCGAAUGUGAAAGCCCCCGGCUCAACUGGGGAGGGUCAUUCGAUACUGAUCGACUUGAAGGCAGGAGAGGGAAGUGGAAUUCCGGGUGUAGUGGUGAAAUGCGUAGAUAUCCGGAGGAACACCAGUGGCGAAGGCGGUGUGCUGGGUUGCAACUGACGCUGAGAUGCGAAAGUGUGGGGAGCAAACGGG